ensembl:lncRNA
GUGAGCGUGCAGAUGGCACAAAAGGGGCUCCGCCCUUCCAUCCCCUCGGCUGGGGAGGGGGAAGCCGGGCUCCUGCACCCCACCGCAGCUGUCUCCCAUCCCGAGCACCUACGUUUCAAAUUGAUCCCGGUUUCCUGAAAUCUUGGCUCUGAAGUUGUCGAGGAGGCUUUGGAGAGGCUUUAAAUACAAGCACAUUAACUCCUCUAUUUCAACUCCCUCAUCAUGAGCCAUGGCAGCUCAAAAAUGCCGUCUACGAUGUCACGUCACAAAGGCUUGGAAAAUUAUCCGUCAGCCCCAUUGUCUGCCUGUUUUCUUUUAUUCCUUCUCUACUCAUCAUGCUCGUUGGCAGCCAUGAAUGAAAUGUAACAUGCUAAAUGACUGACAUCCAUUAAGCCUCCUCGACAAACCUCGGCCGUGUUUUGAAAGGCCCCUGGAAGAAAAAGGAUUGUGUGCUCUUUGAAUCCUGGCCUGCUGAAUGGCUGCCAAGCGAGGACUGCUCCAUUCAAAGGGCUGCGUGAAUAAAUGAGAAUAACAUCCUUGGGGACCCAGCGGAUCAGCUUUCUCUGAAAAUGCUCAGCUUCACAAAGGGUCAGAGUCACAAGUUCUAAUUUGGAGUCCAGCAGCAUACUUAAAAGAAAAGAAGCGAAGCUCUUCACUUUUGGGAAACUGUUGGAAGGACACACGUGCUGGAACUGAAUGAAGCGCCAAGGGAGAGGAGAACUUUCCUUCAGUCAUAGAGUUCAAGGCAGCAUCCACAGAUGGAUGAAAGUGGACAGAAGAGAUCCUGUCUUCUUUGGCCUUUCAAAAAACAACAAACAGAACAAAACAAAGCAACACAACUCCUGAAUGCAAGACCCUUUCCCAGAAAUACCCCGGAUGAUUUUUGAAAUUGGAACAUAUCACUCUGACAUUUGGAUAUAUCUUACAAAUGAUUGCAAUUACUAUGCUCAUUUAUGAAUAUUAGGGAAUAAGAACAGUAUAAAAAUUUCUAAUCAAAAUGAGAAUUCUUAAAAGGCUUACCAAGGAAAACAUGGCUUUCUUGUUUUUGAACACAUUUUAGGGUUGACAUGGAGAGAAUGGCUUGGCAUUAUUCCCCUGUAGGAAAUAUAAAUAAUUUCUAAAGUUUGUUUAGCAUUUACAUAUUCUUUAAAAUGCUAGAGUGAGCGCUUAAUCUCGUUCUUUCUUAUACUCACUGAGCCAGGUGGGUACUACUAAUAUCACCCCAUUUUAUAGAUGAGAAAUGUGAGGUGCAGAGAGGUCACAUCAUUAUUCCACUGCAUUCUCCUGAUGAAUUUCACAAAAGGCUAACUCUGGAAACUCAAGAGGCUUGAUGAAUGCCUGCCUCCCAAGCCAUUGGGAUGUCCCCAUUCAUUUUAUCCAGAACUUGGACAAAAAUCUCAGGGCAUAAUGUUUUGAGGCUAUCUUGAAAAUUAUGAUCACUGGUGGUUUUCUUUUAAAAUCCCUCUUAUACUAGUACUUAAAGAUCGAGUAUAUGUACUUUCAAAUUUCCCUAAUUUAGCAUCCAUUCAAGUUGUUCCUGAGUUUGGUGCUUCUCAGACUUCAAGGAGCCUAAGAAUAGCCAAGGAUCUUGUUACAUGUGGGUUAUGAUUUGAAAGGUGUGGGAAGGUACUCAAAAGCUCAGGUGAUGCCAGCACUGCUGGUUUCAGGACCACAGACUAGAAAGUGUCAAAUGGCCAUUUACACGGUGACAGAGACGGGCGAUGUGCCAGGCCAGCUCCAGGUAGCCGUGAAAGUCAAUUCUCAAAUUUUCAGGAAUCUCAAGAGGUGGUUGUUAAGCACAGUCACAAUUAACAGCUAAAAUUAUAUGAAUUUGCAAUGAAAUAAACUGUAUUAAAAGUAAGGCAAAAAAAAAAAAUAAAAGUAAGGCAAUAAGUUCCCAAAG